GGCCGGCGGUGCCCGGCGCGGGGCGGCCCGGCGUGCGGGGGCCUCGGGGCGAGGGGCGGGCGGGGCUCGCGGCGCGAGGAGCUGCGUCCGCUGGGUCGCGCCUGGGCCCGGCGCCUCGAGCCGGCCUCCCUGCCUGCAGCCCAACUGUCGGAGCGGUUCUCGAGCUCCUCGAGGACCGGGAUCCAGUGACCGGAGUCAGGGUGCCGGGGAGCCGCUGGCGAGCGCUGCGCUACGGGCUCAUCACCUACUCUUUUGGGCCUUCCGCGGACUGAUUCAUUGAUUGCUCCUAACUCUCCAGGGAGAUAGUGUUGUCUCCAGCGUACAGGCGGGGACAUAACGUGCCCAAAGUCACCCGUGCUAAGUGGCAGGGCUGAAGCCUGAACCCACGUACAUCAGGGUCGGGCUCAGAGAGGUUGAGUUACUUGCAAAGGUCGGACGUUUAAUUACGGAGGAGGCAGUGGUUUGAAACCAGGGGUAACUGGCUCCAGAAGCACUAGAAUGUCCUUUUCAAAUCCUUUAUUGCUACUUUUUUUUAAUGUUUAUUUUUUUAGAGGGGGCGGGGGGAGGCACAGAAACUGAAGCAGGCUCCAGGCUCUGGGGCUGGAACCCAGGAACCGUGAAAAUCAUGACCUGAGCUGAAGUCAGACGCUUAACCCACCGAGCCACCCAGGAGCCCCUCAAAUCCUUUAGAAAUCAAGGCAAAGGAAACUGGUGGAGGAUGCUCCAUGAAGAUAGGUGGACCCUGGACGCCCACGCAAAGGGGUGCGCCCAUUCUUAAAUUUCUGGCUCCUAAGGUCCAGAUGAAGAACGUGGUCUCUGGAGUCAGGCUGCCUGGGCUGUAUACCUCUCACCAGCUGUAGGGUUUGGAUGCAAGUGACUUAAUCUCUAUUCUCUAUGCCCCAGUCUUCCCUAUGUGUAAAAUGAGAGUACUGAGAAGAGCGCCCAGCUCAUAGGGUACUCGUGAGGAUUUCAAACUACUACACUUAGGGGCGCCUGGGUGGCUCAGUCGGUUGAGCCUCCGACUUGGGCUCAGGUCACGUUCUCCUAGUUUGUGGGUUCCAGCCCCACGUUGGGCUCUGAGCUGUCAGCACAGAGCCUGGAGGCCUGCUUUGGAUUCUGUGUCUCCCUCGCUCUCUGCCCCUCCCCCACUCGUGCUGUCUCUCAAAAAUAAACAUUGAAAAAUUAAAAACAAAAAAAUAGUACACUUAAAAUGCUCCGAACAGUGCCAAGGAUAUAGUAAGCACUUAGUGAACGUAAUAAAUGGUAACUAUUGUGAGAGUUUUCCUCACUGCCACCCUCUUAGCUCCAAAUUCAGCUUCUAUUGCUGUCUACCUGUUGUUCCCACCUUGCUCUGCACUGAUAAUUGCUUCUCAUGUUGAUGGCUUCGCUGCCUCAGUUACUUAACAUACGAGACAGAGGGCCUGUCAUGUGCUGGGGAUCCAGGAGAAUUGUGACAAAGUCACAGCCCUCAUUGAAGGCGCAGGCCUUCCCCAACCUGUUUUGCCCGUUCUCUGCCGUCUGGCCGAGAGCAGACUCCGGGAGCAUGGUAGCCGAAGAUGCCGGGCCUGACGAAGAUACCUUUCAACAGAAAGACCGUGGAGGGGACUUUGAAUCUAGAGUGCCCAAACUCCAAGGAAGACGUGUGUCCUCCGAGGGCUCACUGUUGGAGCGGACCUGACCUUUCCCUCUGCAGACUGCCUGUUUGCUCGUUCUCUUUUUGAAGCUAGCAUUUACGGAGCGUGCUUAGCACUUUAUGUGGUUUAUGUAACUAAUCUCGACGAAUAAUCUCCUCGGUUUGCAGGCAAGGAAAAAAUGAGGCACAGCAGUUAAUUUGGCUGAUAUAAUACAAUUAGUAAAUGGCAGAGACAAGAUUUCAUUGAAAUUCUGUCACACUCAAGCCUACUUGCUCUAAAGUGUGGGUGGAGGAAAUUGAGCCAGGUAAUUUAGGCAUAUCCUUCCCCUCAUACAGCUCCCUAGGCCACAGGACCGAGUUGUCAGACGUCACAGUGAGUACUUUGCUAUUGGAAUUUCCAGAUAUUCGUGUCUGAAGAACUUUGGAGUCCUGUCCCAUCUGUCUGUAGGUGUCUAGAAGGAAGCCCUUAGGUGAGAGGUGUAAGCUGCAGACAAGGAUGAUUAUCAUCGUGAGUCAAGGGGAACUCUAGACCAAUGAGAUUGUAUGCUCUCGUAAGGUAGGGACAGAACCCUAAAGUUCUCUCUGUACCUCCAGACGGUUCAGCGCACUGCUGGACACUCUACACUCAACAAAAACGUGUGUUUCAGAAAGGCUGUUGCUCCCCCGCAGACACAGGGAGAGGUUGAUUCUGGGAGAUGAGGUCUGGUCAGAAGCUGGGGUGACGUGAGGGUUCCUCACUGAAGAAGGCAUCUCCUCGUCUCUGGCAAGACUGAUGGCAUUUCCUAAGCCCCAGCUUCCCUCCCGUGCAGCUCUUUUAGGGCCCUGGAAAAGCACCUACCACGCUUGGCACAGGAUGGGGAAGGGUCGGUCCUGUGGCUUGAAGCUUCCAGAAUUUAGAGAUAGUACUUCUCUCAUCAGCCACUGUUCUCCACUCCCAGGAAUUUGCAUAAAGCCUCACAUAAGUUACUUCCUCCGCUGACACUCCUGCCCUCCGGGGAAGGACCCAAGGCAUUUGUUUUGUUGGCUAAUUCCCUUUGGUAAUUAUUGUUUCCGGAAUUUAUUUCAUCAUACAGGAAAGGGAGAAUUCCGAGGCGGCCCGUCUCCCUGUUGCCCACGUGCCGGGAGCGCCUCAGUCCUCGCCCCUGUCUUCCUGGCGCCGUCCCCAGGCUGGGACCCUGGCUGGAAGAGUAGGAACCGGGGCUAGAGCAGCUGAAGCGGCCUAGGACCACUGCCAGGGCGCCCAGGGCGAUGAGAGGGCCAACACCAACUACCAGGGAGAGGGCCGUCCUAUGGGGCGGUGCUGGAGAAGCCGAGAGGGAAAGGAGGCAGGGAUGAGCUCAAGGCCCCCGGAGAAUGGAGCCUUUGUGUGGGAGCUCCCGGGGCCCCAGGGGACCGGCACCAGACCUGGUCCCGGAAAGCCGGCCACCCCAGAGGCUGCAAAGGGAUGGAGAAGCAGAAAGGAGGAUGUGCAGUCGGGGAAAAAGAAAAGGUAUCCCCCACCGCUGUCCCAGAUCCAGGAAACAAGACGCAGAAGGAAAAAGACAGAAGCAGCUUUUACUAUAUUUACAUCCAACAAAACUUUGCAAGGAACGACCCUUAUUGCACGGUCCGGGCCCUGGGCGGGAAGGACUGGACUGGACGGGGCUUUAGUUCUUCCUGAGGGGGUCUGGGGCUCCUCUAGGUGGCCCCUGCCUCUUCCGCAGCUACAAGCCACUGAACCAUGCUGCCCCGUGUCCCUUCUCUUUCUCACCAUCCCUAAGAGCCUCCUAAGCAAGGGGCUAUGGCUCCAAAAUAAAUAACUUAAAAUACAAACA